AGUAUUUCAUCUUUUCCAAACAACCGAGUAAAUUUACAGCUCAUUCAAGUGCCACUGGUCUGUUUUUGGAGAAUUUCAUCUUUAAGGUGCUGUGAGAAAGAGCCAUGUCUCCCGUGCCGCCACUGAUGAUGACAUUACAAAACACGUAAUACGGUGGUUCAACUUGGCAGCAGAUAGGGGAAACUCAAGGAGCCGUCCCACUGUCAGCACCCAACA